UACAGAGGUGGCAAGCGUUGUUCGGAAUUACUGGGCGUAAAGGGCGCGUAGGCGGCUUUUUAAGUCAGACGUGAAAUCCCCCGGCUUAACCUGGGAACUGCGUCUGAUACUGGGAAGCUUGAGUUCGGGAGAGGGAUGUAGAAUUCCAGGUGUAGCGGUGAAAUGCGCAGAUAUCAGGAGGAACACCGGUGGCGAAGGCGGAUCUCUGGGCCUGUUCUGACGCUGAGGCGCGAAAGCUAGGGGAGCGAACAGG
rnacentral:rRNA from 1 species